UACGUAGGGGGCAAGCGUUACUCGGAAUCACUGGGCGUAAAGGGUGCGUAGGCGGGUAUGUAAGUCUGUUGUGAAAUACCGCAGCUUAACUGCGGUGCUGCGACGGAAACUGCAUAUCUGGAGUCCCGGAGAGGCAGACGGAAUUCCCGGUGUAGCGGUGAAGUGCGCAGAUAUCGGGAGGAACACCGAUGGCGAAGGCAGUCUGCUGGACGGAGACUGACGCUGAGGCACGAAAGCGUGGGGAGCAAACAGG
rnacentral:rRNA from 1 species